AAGGACCCGCUGUUGCCCUCCCAAGUAGGACCUCAUAUCACCCUCUGGCCCUGCCAUCAAUCGAUUGGCUCAGGAUAACCAGAGGACGUCAUUCAGGCCAUGGUCUUAAUGACGUAAGGACAUGCAGGCUGAGAAACCAAGACGAAUCCAGGCAGCUCCUGCCAGCAGACCUCAGAAAGGCUCUGGAAUCAGAGAAACCAGAGCUGCCUUGUGAAGGAGCCUGGGCCAGCCUGCUGAAGGAUGAGAGACCUCAUGGAGGAAAAUCCUAGUGCCCUGACCAACGAUCAGCCAGACCCCAGAAUCAGAGGCACCCAGCUGCCCUGACACCCACCACAGACACAUAAGAGAGUGUACUCAAGACCAGAAGAAGAAUCCAGUUGACCAGUGGACUGGGGGAGUCUCCAACCUUUGAAUCUUGGCUGGUCUUGUGACUUGCUUUGACUAAUAGAAUGUGGCAGAAACAGCACUGUACAAGUUUCAAAGCCUUGCAGCUUCUGUCUCCGCCAUCAUGGAAUGCUUCCCUGAGACCAUGUAAGGAAGCUACUCUAGCCUGCCGGAGGAGGAGAAGCCAUGCGGGAGAAGCAUGGCAUCAUGGCCCACACUUAGCAUCAGCUGCC
rnacentral:lncRNA from 1 species